rnacentral:rRNA from 1 species
GNNAAUUGACGCUGAGGUUGGUACUUGUACCGACUGGAUGAGCAGCGAACGGGUGAGUAACGCGUGGGGAAUCUGCCUUUGAGCGGGGGACAACAUUUGGAAACGAAUGCUAAUACCGCAUAAAAACUUUAAACACAAGUUUUAAGUUUGAAAGAUGCAAUUGCAUCACUCAAAGAUGAUCCCGCGUUGUAUUAGCUAGUUGGUGAGGUAAAGGCUCACCAAGGCGAUGAUACAUAGCCGACCUGAGAGGGUGAUCGGCCACAUUGGGACUGAGACACGGCCCAAACUCCUACGGGAGGCAGCAGUAGGGAAUCUUCGGCAAUGGACGAAAGUCUGACCGAGCAACGCCGCGUGAGUGAAGAAGGUUUUCGGAUCGUAAAACUCUGUUGGUAGAGAAGANCGUUGGUGAGAGUGGAAAGCUCAUCAAGUGACGGUAACUACCCANAAAGGGACGGCUAACUNCGUGCCAGCAGCCGCGGUAAUNCGUAGGUCCCGAGCGUUGUCNGAUUAUUGGGCGUAAGCGAGCGCAGGUGGUUAUNAGUCUGGNGUAAANGCAGUGCC